rnacentral:rRNA from 1 species
GUCGAGAAUCAUUCGCAAUGGGGGAAACCCUGACGGUGCGACGCCGCGUGGAGGAUGACGGCCCUCGGGUUGUAAACUCCUGUCAUGAGGGAGUAAGACAUCUGGCAGUAACUGGCUGGAUGUUCGAUAGUACCUCAAGAGGAAGGGACGGCUAACUUCGUGCCAGCAGCCGCGGUAAUACGAAGGUCCCAAGCGUUGUUCGGAAUCACUGGGCGUAAAGCGCGUGCAGGCGGCGCGGUAAGUCAGAUGUGAAAUCCCGGGGCUCAACCCCGGAACUGCAUCCGAUACUACCGUGCUAGAGGACUGGAGAGGGAUGUGGAAUUCUUGGUGGAGCAGUGAAAUGCGUAGAGAUCAAGAGGAACACCAACGGCGAAGGCAGCAUCCUGGACAGAUCCUGACGCUCAGACGCGAAGGCUAGGGUAGCGAACGGG